rnacentral:rRNA from 1 species
GUCGAGAAUCUUUCACAAUGGGGGCAACCCUGAUGGAGCGACGCCGCGUGGAGGAUAAGGUCUUCGGAUUGUAAACUCCUGUCAUGCGUGAACAAGGUUGCUUGGAUAAUACCUGAGCAAAUUGAUGGUAGCGCAAGAGGAAGAGACGGCUAACUCUGUGCCAGCAGCCGCGGUAAUACAGAGGUCUCAAGCGUUGUUCGGAAUCACUGGGCGUAAAGGGUGCGUAGGUGGCGUGGCAAGUCAGAUGUGAAAGCCCGGGGCUCAACCUCGGAACUGCAUCCGAUACUGCCAUGCUAGAGUACUGGAGGGGUGACUAGAAUUCUCGGUGUAGCAGUGAAAUGCGUAGAUAUCGAGAGGAAUACCAAAGGCGUAGGCAGGUCACUGGACAGUUACUGACACUGAGGCACGAAGGCCAGGGGAGCGAACGGGAUUAGAUACCCCUGUAGUCC